CCGAAAUAUAAUAAAACGGUUAGUCAAGAGUAAUUUUAUUUGAAUAUAACGUUUUUAUACAAUUUAUUGUACAUGUUUAAUAUAUGUGUAUAUAGUAUUUUUUUCUUCUAACGAUAAGAGUUAACUUAAGUAAUAUCAUAUUCAACUGUUCGACUGAAUUUGGCAUAUACUUAAACAUUUAAAAUUUUUUACAAAGAGUGGACCUCAAUCAUGUAGAAGUGAGAAAACGCAUCGGACUUACGCAUGACAUAAAGGUCGUGUCCAUAAAACUUAAUUAUAUCUUCACAUUUUAAAGUCCGCCAAACAUUGAACGCUGAAGAAAAAUACAAGUUAGUGAACUGUUUACUGAAAAAAUAAAUAUGAAAUAGCGAAUCCAGAGAACGAUUUUGAAUAUUCAAACAAGGCAUUCAACAAGAAUCAGUAUAUCGAAGAAAACUCGAAGGAAUUGUGGUGUUACUGUUAAUAACAGGUCACUUUUCCGAAGACAUGGCUGAACUGAUAAACAUUGAUCAUAAUAUCACUUCUAGUGUUAUAUUUAUAAUAUUCUACUAGAUUAUAUUUAGAUGAUUAUACUAAA